rnacentral:lncRNA from 1 species
CACAAAUACCCUGGACCAAAAGGAAGAAUGGAAGAGAUACUCAAACAACAAUGUCCGAACUAUUCUAAUGCACUGAUUCCCUCCAUGAUGUCGUUUGGAGAAUGACACUGACACCCCUCGACUCAUAAGGAAAGAGAGGUUUGACUUCUCCAGGAGGGCAGUAGAUGCCAUGCACCAAAUGAAGUAAAGGUCAAGUGAUGGAGGCUGUUUGAGCACAAUUGGAGCAAUG